AAGUCGUAACAAGGUUUCCGUAGGUGAACCUGCGGAAGGAUCAUUAAUGAAUUUAAAUAAAAGAAAGAGUGUUGGAACUUGAAGUCGAUUUGUAGCUGGCUCUUGCAAGUGCUCAUUCGAUUAAAGGAAAGGCAUUCUUUUUUUAAUUCUAUUACCAACCCCCUUUGUGCACCUUUUGUUAGCCAUCCCGUGUUCAAGUCUCUUGAGAUUUGAAUGUGUGUGUUGUGUUAAUGUAUUUAUACACCCUUUUAAAACAGUUAUAGAAUGUCUAAUCGCAAGUAAACUUAAUCGUUGAAAGUGAAUAAAAAAUUAUACAACUUUAAGCAACGGAUCUCUUGGCUCUC
rnacentral:misc_RNA from 1 species